rnacentral:lncRNA from 1 species
AGCCAUAGAUCCGAUCAAAUCAGGAUUAUUUCUUCCUUACCGAUUAGAUCAUCUCAUAACCUAAUCAGACCUGACUUGAUUGAAUCCAAUUCAAUCAGACUUGAUCCAGACUUUAAUGCUCAAUCAAAUUAAGUUAAUUAGUGAUUUAAUUACUAAUUAAUCUUCUAUUAAUGAUAGAGUCCCAAUCAAAUGGGACUCUUCAGUAGAGUCCUCGUCCAGUGAAACUCUUCACGAGAGUCCCAGUCAAGUGGGACUCUUCAGAUUAGCCAUA